AUAGGGGAGCCGGAGGGAAACCGAGUCUUAAUUGGGCGUUAAGUUGCAGGGUAUAGACCCGAAACCCGGUGAUCUAGCCAUGGGCAGGUUGAAGGUUGGGUAACACUAACUGGAGGACCGAACCGACUAAUGUUGAAAAAUUAGCGGAUGACCUGUGGCUGGGGGUGAAAGGCCAAUCAAACCGGGAGAUAGCUGGUUCUCCCCGAAAGCUAUUUAGGUAGCGCCUCGUGAAUUCAUCUCCGGGGGUAGAGCACUGUUUCGGCUAGGGGGCCAUCCCGGCUUACCAACCCGAUGCAAACUGCGAAUACCGGAGAAUGUUAUCACGGGAGACACACGGCGGGUGCUAACGUCCGUCGUGAAGAGGGAAACAACCCAGACCGCCAGCUAAGGUCCCAAAGUCAUGGUUAAGUGGGAAACGAUGUGGGAAGGCCCAGACAGCCAGGAUGUUGGCUUAGAAGCAGCCAUCAUUUAAAGAAAGCGUAAUAGCUCACUGGUCGAGUCGGCCUGCGCGGAAGAUGUAACGGGGCUAAACCAUGCACCGAAGCUGCGGCAGCGAACGUAUCACCCAAGACAACUUUACGGAGUUGACGAUUGACGGAGCGAAGCGACGUCAAAGCGUUCAUUAAAGUCGAGUUGGCUUAGGGAUACGUUCGUUGGGUAGGGGAGCGUUCUGUAAGCCUGUGAAGGUGUGUCGUGAGGCAUGCUGGAGGUAUCAGAAGUGCGAAUGCUGACAUAAGUAACGAUAAAGCGGGUGAAAAGCCCGCUCGCCGGAAGACCAAGGGUUCCUGUCCAACGUUAAUCGGGGCAGGGUGAGUCGACCCCUAAGGCGAGGCCGAAAGGCGUAGUCGAUGGGAAACGGGUUAAUAUUCCCGUACUUGGUGUUACUGCGAAGGGGGGACGGAGAAGGCUAUGUUGGCCGGGCGACGGUUGUCCCGGUUUAAGCGUGUAGGUGUGUGUUCCAGGUAAAUCCGGUUCACUUUAACACUGAGGCGUGACGACGAGGCACUACGGUGCUGAAGCAACAAAUGCCCUGCUUCCAGGAAAAGCCUCUAAGCAUCAGGUAACACGAAAUCGUACCCCAAACCGACACAGGUGGUCAGGUAGAGAAUACCAAGGCGCUUGAGAGAACUCGGGUGAAGGAACUAGGCAAAAUGGUGCCGUAACUUCGGGAGAAGGCACGCUGACACGUAGGUGAAGUGAUUUACUCAUGGAGCUGAAGUCAGUCGAAGAUACCAGCUGGCUGCAACUGUUUAUUAAAAACACAGCACUGUGCAAACACGAAAGUGGACGUAUACGGUGUGACGCCUGCCCGGUGCCGGAAGGUUAAUUGAUGGGGUCAGCGCAAGCGAAGCUCCUGAUCGAAGCCCCGGUAAACGGCGGCCGUAACUAUAACGGUCCUAAGGUAGCGAAAUUCCUUGUCGGGUAAGUUCCGACCUGCACGAAUGGCGUAAUGAUGGCCAGGCUGUCUCCACCCGAGACUCAGUGAAAUUGAACUCGCUGUGAAGAUGCAGUGUACCCGCGGCAAGACGGAAAGACCCCGUGAACCUUUACUAUAGCUUGACACUGAACAUUGAGCCUUGAUGUGUAGGAUAGGUGGGAGGCUUUGAAGUGUGGACGCCAGUCUGCAUGGAGCCGACCUUGAAAUACCACCCUUUAAUGUUUGAUGUUCUAACGUGGACCCGUAAUCCGGGUUGCGGACAGUGUCUGGUGGGUAGUUUGACUGGGGCGGUCUCCUCCUAAAGAGUAACGGAGGAGCACGAAGGUUGGCUAAUCCUGGUCGGACAUCAGGAGGUUAGUGCAAUGGCAUAAGCCAGCUUGACUGCGAGCGUGACGGCGCGAGCAGGUGCGAAAGCAGGUCAUAGUGAUCCGGUGGUUCUGAAUGGAAGGGCCAUCGCUCAACGGAUAAAAGGUACUCCGGGGAUAACAGGCUGAUACCGCCCAAGAGUUCAUAUCGACGGCGGUGUUUGGCACCUCGAUGUCGGCUCAUCACAUCCUGGGGCUGAAGUAGGUCCCAAGGGUAUGGCUGUUCGCCAUUUAAAGUGGUACGCGAGCUGGGUUUAGAACGUCGUGAGACAGUUCGGUCCCUAUCUGCCGUGGGCGCUGGAGAACUGAGGGGGGCUGCUCCUAGUACGAGAGGACCGGAGUGGACGCAUCACUGGUGUUCGGGUUGUCAUGCCAAUGGCACUGCCCGGUAGCUAAAUGCGGAAGAGAUAAGUGCUGAAAGCAUCUAAGCACGAAACUUGCCCCGA
rnacentral:rRNA from 1 species